rnacentral:rRNA from 1 species
GACGAACGCUGGCGGCGUGCUUAACACAUGCAAGUCGAACGGAAAGGCCCUGCUUUUGUGGGGUGCUCGAGUGGCGAACGGGUGAGUAACACGUGAGUAACCUGCCCUUGACUUUGGGAUAACUUCAGGAAACUGGGGCUAAUACCGGAUAGGAGCUCCUGCUGCAUGGUGGGGGUUGGUAAGUUUCGGCGGUUGGGGAUGGACUCGCGGCUUAUCAGCUUGUUGGUGGGGUAGUGGCUUACCAAGGCUUUGACGGGUAGCCGGCCUGAGAGGGUGACCGGCCACAUUGGGACUGAGAUACGGCCCAGACGCCUACGGGAGGCAGCAGUGGGAAAUAUUGCACAAUGGGCGGAAGCAUGAUGCAGCAACGCCGCGUGCGGGAUGACGGCCUUCGGGGUGUAAACCGCUUUCGCCUGUGACGAAGCGUGAGUGACGGUAAUGGGUAAAGAAGCACCGGCUAACUACGUG